GAUGAACGCUGGCGGCGUGCCUAAUACAUGCAAGUAGAACGCUGAAGGAGGAGCUUGCCCUUCUGGAUGAGUUGCGCGCGGGUGUGUAACGCGUAGGUAACCUGCCUGGUAGCGGGGGAUAACUAUUGGAAACGAUAGAUAAUACCGCAUGACAACAGUUAUUGCAGGGUGACUGUUUGAAAGGGGCAACUGCUCCACUACUAGAUGGACCUGCGUUGUAUUAGCUAGUUGGUGAGGUAACGGCUCACCAAAGCGACGAUACAGAGCCGACCUGAGAGGGUGAUCGGCCAAACCGGGACUGGAGAAACGCCCAAGACCCCACGGGGAGGAGCAAGAGGGGAAUUUCGGACAUGGAGGGAAGGCCGAACGCGGCACGCCCGCUGGUGUGAGGAGGUUCUCGGGAUGUAAAAAUCCUUUGUAAGGGAAGGAAGAGCGUUAGAGUGGAAAGUUCACGCUGUGACGUUACCUUACCAGAAAGCGACGGCUAACUACGUG
rnacentral:rRNA from 1 species